rnacentral:lncRNA from 1 species
UUCAAAGACGCUAAUGCACGAAUCGUCUACCUGAUCGAGGCGAAGCUGUGUAAAAGCUGGCAGUGGCCCAGCAAGGCGAAGACUGAGUUCUGCUUUCUGUCCAAGUCUUUUCCGCAUAUUGAGAACAUCAUGAGUCCUCAGUCGGAUUCGGUGAUCAAAGAGUUGGGGACGUUCUCCAAGGAACAGGUGGAAAUGUCUGCUAGUGUGGACAAGAAGGCCUGUUCUCCAGGAGACACCAUCACUCCCUCUGCCAUCGUCUGCAACUCCUCGUCCAAAAGCAUGAAGCCCAAGUUCAUUCUGCAGCAGAAGACGGUGUACCGCACCGGCAACCAC